rnacentral:rRNA from 1 species
UACAGAGGUCUCAAGCGUUGUUCGGAUUCAUUGGGCGUAAAGGGUGCGUAGGCGGCGCGGUAAGUCGGGUGUGAAAUCUCGGGGCUUAACUCCGAAACUGCAUUCGAUACUGCCGUGCUUGAGGACUGGAGAGGAGACUGGAAUUUACGGUGUAGCGGUGAAAUGCGUAGAUAUCUGGAGGAACACCGGUGGCGAAGGCGGCAUCCUGGACCGGCAUUGACGCUAAAGCGCGAAAGCCAGGGGAGCAAACGGG